rnacentral:lncRNA from 1 species
GAUAAGAAACUCAUCUAUAGUUUCUUAUUUUCGUUAAUAACGCGUUAUUAGAUUCACGCGAGAUGCAUCACCAUGGUGCCACUGAGCUUCAUCCUACUGGAAUGCAUUGUGCAGAUGAUGGGCCAUUUCAUCUCUUUUGUCAACAAAAUUGGAAGUGAAUGAGGGUGCAUCGAUUUCAUUGACAUAUUUCCAUGUUGAAGAGAAACACGAAGAAGAGGUAAAA